UGGGGAAUCUUGCGCAAUGGGCGAAAGCCUGACGCAGCGACGCCGCGUGAGGGAAGAAGGCCUUCGGGUUGUAAACCUCUUUCAGGAGGGACGAAGCUACUCGGGUGAAUAGCCCAGAGGGUGACGGUACCUCCAGAAGAAGCCCCGGCUAACUACGUGCCAGCAGCCGCGGUAAUACGUAGGUGGCGAGCGUUGUCCGGAUUUACUGGGCGUAAAGAGCGCGCAGGCGGUCGUACAAGUCGCGUGUGAAGGCCCCCGGCUCAACUGGGGAGGGUCACGCGAUACUGUUCGACUCGAAGGCAGGAGAGGGAAGUGGAAUUCCCGGUGUAGUGGUGAAAUGCGUAGAUAUCGGGAGGAACACCAGUGGCGAAGGCGACUUCCUGGCCUGUUCUUGACGCUGAGGCGCGAAAGCUAGGGUAGCAAACGGGAUUAGAUACCCCGGUAGUCCUAGCCGUAAACGAUGGACACUAGGUGUUGGUGGUAUCAACCCCGCAGUGCCGAAGCAAACGCAUUAGUCG
rnacentral:rRNA from 1 species